AUACGGAGGGUCCGAGCGUUAUCCGGAAUCAUUGGGUUUAAAGGGUCCGUAGGCGGGAAUCUAAGUCAGUGGUGAAAUCUUGCAGCUCAACUGUAAAAUUGCCAUUGAUACUGGAUUUCUUGAAUUAGUGUGAAGUGGUUAGAAUGUGUAGUGUAGCGGUGGAAUGCAUAGAUAUUACACAGAAUACCAAUUGCGAAGGCAGAUCACUAACACUAUAUUGACGCUAAGGGACGAAAGCGUGGGGAGCGAACAGGAUUAGAAACCCUGGUAGUCC
rnacentral:rRNA from 1 species